AGUGAACGCUGGCGGUAGGCCUAACACAUGCAAGUCGAACGGCAGCACCGUAAGAGCUUGCUCUUACGGGUGGCGAGUGGCGGACGUGUGAGGAAUACAUCGUAAUCUACUUUUUCGUGGGGGUUAACGUAGGGAAACUUACUCUAAUACCGCAUACGACCUACGGGUGAAAGCAGUGGAUCUUCUGACCUUGCGCGAUUGAAUGAGCCGAUGUCGGAUUAGCUAGUUGGCGGGGUAAAGGCCCACCAAGGCGACGAUCCGUAGCUGGUCUGAGAGGAUGGUAAGCGACCCUGGAACGUAAACACGGUCCAGGCUCCUACGGGAGGCAGCAGUGGGGAAUAUUAGACAGUAGGCGCAAACCUGACCCAGCCAGACCGCGUGGGUGAAGAAGACCUUCGGGUUGUAAAGACCUUUUGUGGGGAGAGAACAGCAGUCGGUUAAUACCCCGCUGUUCUGACGGUACCCAGAGAAUAAGCACCGGCUAACUUCGUG
rnacentral:rRNA from 1 species